ACACACACACACACACACACACACACACACACACACACACACACACACAGUCUUCAACUCACGCCAAACUCGACAUGCCCACUUUUAGACUUUUUAGUAGGGAGAAAGGGAAAGUUGCUGUAAUGUGGAUCAACUUGUGUCAUUGCCUAUCACGUUGUUAGGAGCUGGCUUGUUUACAACUAAACUCAGACUGCGCUCUUUGUCCACGUGGCCACAGAAUCUCUAGUUGGACCUGCUGCAGAGCAGGAGAAACAGGGAGAUGGAUGACUUUCUGCAGUGUCAUCUCCAUGACCUCUCCUCACACUGUACCCCCUGUCCAUUUGGAAGACAUAAAGAAACAGGCAAAACUCUGUGGAGAUACGGGCACAUGAGGUCACAAUACAAGUCAGUGCAAUGAAAAUCAUAGGAAGGUGACAGACUGCUCCUCCUCUUAGUCGAUACCGGCCACCGCACUCAGGCCAGUUACCAUGGAAACAACAGGAAAUGAGAGACGGAUUGGAGAGAUUACAUCACCUCUGACCUCACUGACCCUUCAUCGUCAUGGCGACUGUCUCAUGGUGACAGACAGAUGUCAUCAAUCAACAGUUCUGACAGCUCAUUCUCUUCUGGCUAUAGAAAAGGAUGCAGAGGAUUAUUUGUGUAUGGGUGUGUGUGUUUGUGUGUGUACAUGCGAGCUUGCGAGCGCCUAUGUGUGUGUUUCACUAUAUGAGGACAGAAAUGUAGAGAUGUCCAAGUAGAUCAAUUUCCCAGAUAAGGUCACACAGUUAAUUUUAUAUUCUGUAUAUUUUGUUAGGUAUUAAUUAGUGAAUGUUUGGUGUCAACGAAACAGAUGGAGUGUGUGGCACCUUUAAAGGGUUCAUAAUGGACUACAAAGUGGGUCAGAGUAAAGAAAUCUUCAACAAUUAUUCAUGGCCCGUCCCAUCUCUCUCCCCUCCACCAGCCCUCUUUCUCCACUUUUCUUUUUUUAAUCUGCAUCAAAUUGCAGCAAUAGGAGAAAGAGAACAAGAGCAGAGAGAGGGAAGGAGAUAAAAAGAGGCAGAGGGGAAAUGUUUGUACCAUGUUACCUCUUGUCAGCAGGGUAUGUGAUGAAAUGUAGGUGCAACGCUUGCUCAGCAGAUCAACUUUUUUUUUGUUGCAGCAAAUAUUGCUCUUGCACCCUACACCAAAUAACAGACACUCAAGCACACUUCCAAUUUAGAGUAAGCUGAACAGAGUGCACCCACAGCAUUCAACUAUUUAUCCCGUUACAGAUCAGUGAAAAACAAAGAUGAGGAGACAUGGAAAUGAAGCUUUUCAGGCGAUUCGUACUGAAGUUGCAGACAAACUCCUCUAAUUAGAGGCAGAAAUAAAUGUAAACUGCUAUUGGAUUAUCAGAGAAUGUGAGAGGGUUCUGAUUGGAUUUUGAGUGAGUUAGAGUUUUCUGAUUAGAUGAAUUAGUCAGUUAGUUAGAGUAUUCAGAUUGGAUGUUGUAAGAAUGAGAGGGUUCUAAUUGUCGGAAGAGAGAAUGUUAUACCUCUGAUUGGAUGAUGACCGAGAGAGAAAGGGUUCUGAUUGGAGGUUGAGCGGGUGAGAUUCCUCUGCAGUAUCUGGGUGUCAUGGCUGCCAGGUCCCUGCAGGUCUGAACUGUAAAUCUACACAUUAAUCAGACUCAGCAGGGAGCGAUCAAAGGAGCCCGCUCCAUCUUUACUCAGAGCAGCUCUUUGAAGUGUCUCAAUGUGUGUGUGUGUGUGUAUGUGUGUGUGUGUGUG